rnacentral:rRNA from 1 species
AGAGUUUGAUCCUGGCUCAGAAUGAACGCUGGCGGCGUGGAUUAGGCAUGCAAGUCGAACGAGAAAGUUUCCUUCGGGAGAUGAGUACAGUGGCGAACUGGUUAGUAACAGGUGGGAAAUGUACCCCUUGGCUUGGGAUAACUCCUGGAAACAGGAGCUAAUACCAGAUGUGACUCACGGGUCUUCGGUCCUGUGGGUUAAAGAUGCUUCUUUUAUUAGUUGUGUCACCAAGAGAUCGUCCCGCCCCUGAUUAGCUUGACGGUGGGGUAAUGGCCUACCGUGGCGACAAUCAGUAGCUGGUCUGAGAGGAUGGUCAGCAACACUGGGACUGAGAUACGGCCCAGACUCCUACGGGAGGCAGCAGUCUAGAGGCUUCGGCAAUGGACGAAAGUCUGACCGAGCGACGCCGCGUGUGUGAUGAAGGCCUUCGGGUCGUAAAGCACUGUCAGCAGGGAAGAAGGUCUUGGCGGUGUCCCUCCAAGAUUUGACGGUACCUGCAGAGGAAGCUCCGGCUAACUCCGUGCCAGCAGCCGCGGUAAUACGGAGGGAGCAAGCGUUAUUCGGAAUUAUUGGGCGUAAAGAGCGCGUAGGCGGAUGUUUAGGUCUGACGUGAAAUCGUUACCGCUUAACGGAACGACGCCGUUGGAAACCGGAUAUCUUGAGUAUGGCAGAGGUUGGUGGAAUUCCUGGUGUAGCGGUGGAAUGCGCAGAUAUCAGGAAGAACACCGGUGGCGAAGGCGACCAACUGGGCCAUUACUGACGCUGAGGCGCGAAAGCUAGGGUAGCGAACGGGAUUAGAUACCCCGGUAGUCCUAGCCGUAAACGAUGGAUGCUAGACGUGGGAGGUAUCGACCCCCUCCGUGUCGCAGUUAACGCAUUAAGCAUCCCGCCUGGGGAGUACGAUCGCAAGAUUGAAACUCAAAGGAAUUGACGGGGGCCCGCACGAGCGGUGGAGCAUGUGGUUUAAUUCGACGCAACGCGAAGAACCUUACCUGGGCUUGAACUGCAGGGAAAAGCCGGUGAAAGCCGGUGUGACCUUCGGGUCGUUCCUGUAGAGGUGCUGCAUGGCUGUCGUCAGCUCGUGUCGUGAGAUGUUGGGUUAAGUCCCGCAACGAGCGCAACCCUUGUCGUUAGUUACCAGCGAGUAAUGUCGGGGACUCUAACGAGACCGCCCGCGCAAGCGGGAGGAAGGUGGGGACGACGUCAAGUCAUCAUGGCCCUUACGUCCAGGGCUACACACGUGCUACAAUGGCGAGUACAACGCGCAGCCAACCCGCGAGGGUGAGCGAAUCGCUUAAAGCUCGUCUCAGUUCGGAUUGGAGUCUGCAACUCGACUCCAUGAAGGUGGAAUCGCUAGUAAUCGCGUAUCAGCAAUGGCGCGGUGAAUACGUUCCCGGGCCUUGUACACACCGCCCGUCACACCACGAAAGUCGGUUGUUCCAGAAGUCGCUACGCUAACCCUCUGGGAGGCAGGCGCCAAAGGAAUGACCGGUGAUUGGGGUGAAGUCGUAACAAGGUA